CUUAUGAGCUCAGCCCUAUAAUGGUAAUGUUCCGAAUCGGGGUUAUCCAAGUCAGCCAACAUAAUCCCGUAGUCUUCCAGGCCUUUCCACACUUCUACAUUGUCCAUGAGUUGUUGCAACUGUCCUGACACCCAGCCCCUGUCCCCACUGGCGUCCAAAUAGCUUUUCACAAGGGAGAGAUACGUGGCGGCGUACGAGUCGGUUGAAUCUGCAGUCAAAUUUGAAACCACGGUGUCGCUCGUGUCAAGGUGAUGGUCAUAAAUGGUCCCGUCCGCAUUCAGAUUGGCGAUAUACCAUUCAAGGUACUUUUUAACCUUGGCCAAAGUUGGGCCAGAGGUGUUUACUCGUAGCACAUUUUUUAGUGCCAAGUUCGUAACGUAUGGUAAAAUGUUCACAAUUUGCUGGGGAUUUCGAACAUUUUGUGGUAUGCACCCUAUGUAUAAAAUUCUUUAAGUUGUCCAUUCUCGAGAUUACAGUGUACAUAUAUGUAUAAACUUUUUAGUACGCCAGAUACUGUACCUGAUGGUCGUUGCAAAUUAAGAAUCCAAGUUACUUCUUGGUCGACAAGGUUAAUAUUUCCAGAAACUAAGGUGAAAAUGGUUAUUAUUAUUAAUAUUGCGAUAUGGGGAAAUUUGCCCAAGUUAUUCGCCAUUUCAAAUAUUAUGCUUGCGUACAACAUGUCAAACGUAGAAUAUGUACAUCCUAAUAACCUUUGUUUUUAUAGACAAUUGUAUCGCACUAAUUUUGCUAAUACAUGGUUUUAUUAUUUCAUCCAUUUUCCAUAUCAUAAACAAAGUGCACAUGCGAAUUGAUUGAUUAAUUUACAGGUUUUAAUUAACUGUCGGAUGAGCGUCAAUUGUGUUUUUUUAAUAGCUCUGAGCACCACAUAAUUACUUUGUAGGUGUAUCUUUAUUAACCAUAUAUACGAUGCAUAUCCAAGAAAUAAAAUUAGUGGUCAACUAAUUACAUAAAUUAGCAUGCAAUCAUAAUAGUUUCAUUCAAGUAUGAAAAUAACCUUGAAAGGUAUAUAAAACGCAUUUGAAAUGCUUUUUGGAAAAAAUUAUGUAAAUGAUUUAUUAUAGUGUCAACAAGCAGCUUUUUGAUAAUUUAAUAAUCAACAUAUUACGUAUGAAAGCUAAAAAUAUUUAAAUAUAU